ensembl:rRNA 5S_rRNA 5S ribosomal RNA
ACAGACAUACCACCCUGAAUGCUCCCUAUCUUGUCUGGUCUUGGAAGCUAAGCAGGGUUGGGCCUGUUACUACUUGGAUGGGACAAACUCUAUU